rnacentral:rRNA from 1 species
GAUGAACGCUGGCGGCGUGCCUAAUACAUGCAAGUCGAGCGAACGGACGAGAAGCUUGCUUCUCUGAUGUUAGCGGCGGACGGGUGAGUAACACGUGGAUAACCUACCUAUAAGACUGGGAUAACUUCGGGAAACAGGAGCUAAUACCGGAUAAUAUGUUGAACCGCAUGGUUCAAAAGUGAAAGACGCUCUUGCUGUCACUUAUAGAUGGUUCCGCGCUGCAUUAGCUAGUUGGUAAGGUAACGGCUUACCAAGGCAACGAUGCAUAGCCGACCUGAGAGGGUGAACGGCCCAACUGGAACUGAGACAAGGGCCCAACUCCCAAGGGAGGCAGCAGUAGGGAAACUUCCGCAAUGGGGCAAAGCCUGAAGGCGCAACGCCGGGUGAGUGAUGAAGGUCUUCGGAUCGUAAAACUCUGUUAUUAGGGAAGAAAAUACGUGUAAGUAACUGUGCACAGCUCGACGGGAACUAAACAGAAAGGCACGGCUAACUACGGG